rnacentral:rRNA from 1 species
CAAUAGCGUAUAUUUAAGUUGCUGCAGUUAAAAAGCUCGUAGUUGGAUUUCGGGUGGGAAUGGCCGGUCCGCCGUUUCGGUGUGCACUUGCUACGCCCACCUUGCUGCCGGGGACGUGCUCUUGAGUUCACGCUCGGGACACGGAGUCGGCGAGGUUACUUUGAGUAAAUUAGAGUGUUCAAAGCAGGCCUACGCUCUGAAUACAUUAGCAUGGAAUAACACGAUAGGACUCUGGCCUAUCUUGUUGGUCUGUAGGACCGGAGUAAUGAUUAAGAGGGACAGUCGGGGGCAUUCGUAUUUCAUAGUCAGAGGUGAAAUUCUUGGAUUUAUGAAAGACGAACUACUGCGAAAGCAUUUGCCAAGGAUGUUUUCAUUAA